GCUCUGGCCGCCUCAACUGGAACCCGUACAUCCAAACUUGUGCGCUUGAGACGGUUUGACGC
rnacentral:miRNA from 1 species